GGAGGGCCAGGCUGGCUGCUCCGUGCCCACGUGCUCCCGUUUCUCUCGCUUCUCCUUAAAGGCCAACGCGCCGGAGACAGCUGGAGGAGAACUCGGAGACGGAAGCGGCGGGAGGAGGUUUCCUUAGCACAAAUGUGCCCAGAGCGAGUGAGUCACUCGUGGCAGCGCCGCCGAAGGGUCGCCGCUAGCCAACUGAUUUUGAGCCUUGGGCCUCUGCCUGCCCAGUGCUGGAAUCACAGGUGGGCUGCCGUCCACUCAGUGCUUAUUGGAUACUGGGAUCCCAACUCGGACCCUCACACUUGUAUGGGGCAAGCUUUCUUCUCAGAUGCUCCUUCACAGCUGAAAGAGAGCAGCUUUUUUGUACGUAAAUCUGAUGGCUCACUGUGAUGUAAUUACUCAAAAUAUAAAACUCCAAGACCCUGGGUUACAAGUGAUUUAUUCAACAUGGGAUCGUGAGAACCUCAGCAAUCUCAGUAAUCGGCUCAAAUGUUGGAACUUGCUCCGGAGACACUGUCAUUAGCUAAAAAGCCUGGUCAGUGACCCAUUCAGCCCUCAUCAGAGACGCUUGCUCUUGCAGUGAAUGGGAACAGAUACAGAGACCCACAACUGGACAACACACAGAGGAAGAGAGCUCAUUUUGGAGCCUCAGUUCUCAAUGGACUGUCUUCAUCAAGCCCUCCUCUUAAGGCUCAGGGUUCUGUAUGCAAGACUAGGAAAAAAAAAAGAAGGGAAGAGCCAGAGGUGAUGAAUGGCCUCAAGGAAAGUGCUGGAUGCUUGCUGUUGAAGAGUAAGUUCAUGAAACCUGGGAAAGUGGUGCUGGUUCUGAUUGAUGUUCCUCUGGAAGCAAAGCUGUCAUCAUGAAGAACCUUGACGAUGGCACCGUACAGCCACGUCCCAUGCCUGAAAUUGACUGCUAUCCCCCAAAAGUGACAGCUGCCAUGAGCAAGAAGAAAAUCACCAAGAGAUCAAAGAUGAAGUUCUUUGUGAACGUUUGUAACUACAAUCACCUCAUGUCCACAAGGUACUCUGUGGUUAGCCCCUUGGACAAAACUGUUGUCAACAAGGAUGUCUUUGGAGACCCCACUCUGAAAUGCAAGGCCAGGCAGGAGGCCAAGGUCAAGUUUGAGGAAUGAUACAAGACAGGGAAUAACAAAUGACACUUCUUUUUGGUAUAUUUUGUUUUCAUCAUUAAAUAACUUUUAAAAAAGAUGUUAUGGUUAGAUUAACUAAUUUUGCUUAUUUGUAAAACAAUUAUACAUUAUCUGAAAAAUGUUCGAACUUACAAUUUCAGUAUUUCAUCACUGUGCACAGCACACACAUGAAACACAAUAAGUGAACAGUCAGGGCCCCAGCACUCAAUUUAGAAACUGCAUAGAAUGUUCCCAGUCCAUGCCUCAUUCUCUGUCCCUCCACCACCUCAUGUUUCUUCCUUUCCUAUGAGGAUGUGCUGCCCUGAGUCAAAAAUCUUUCUCUGAUUGCAAUUUGCAAGUCUAUCUUUUUUUCUGCCCUGCGUGGCCCAUGCUUUUUAUCUAUGGUUUUAAAAUAAACUGCUUCUCAGAUGCAGAGUUUGGGAUGAUGUUUAGAUCUGUUGGAAAGUAUACUGAUUAUUCAUCAGUCUCAGAUCCUGGCCCCCUUCUUCUACCUUUUCCCUCAGUUACACAUACCCACCUCCCCCAGUGUCCAGUUGUUUCCUGGGUGACCUUGGGUGGAAGUGUGCUUGCCUGCAUUUCUAUGCUGAGUAUCUGAAACACGAGCAAUCUAAAGUUCAUCAUGUGACCUAGAUAUCAAGAGCAAUACUUCUGUUUUGUUUUUAGAAUUUGGAGCCACCUGAUGGAGUGUAUAAUUGUGGAAACUAAAAUUUAAAAGUUCAAUUUGGCAGACAUUUCUUCUGCCUCUACCAUAUUAAUGUUAAUGCUGAAAUCUCACUUAGGGUUCAUCCAGUUCAUUUUGGGUGGAUGUCAGUGCUAGAUGCUAAAGUUAUUUAAAAUGGUAUAAAUAAUGGUUAAGACUAAUCAUGGUCAAACUCCAAAAAGUAUGAAAUAGACAACCAGCUGAGCUAAAAUCCAACUAUUCUUAAUAAACUUCAUUGAAUAUUUGAUAAUGGCAUUUUAAUACAAGUUUUAAUAUCACUAAGCAUUAAUGUUUGGCAUUACCAAGUUUUCAACAGCAUUAAGAAUUUACUCAUCCCAACAAAGCGACAAUUUUAGUAUCACCAUUCAAGUAGGGAAACUUAAUUUUGCCCCUACUGGAAGAUAUGAGGUAGAAGUUUGCAAGCUAGCCAUGCUGGUAUCUCAAACAAGAUGGAAGACGAGGACUGACACCCCACGCUGUCCCAUGAGUCCAACAAACAUGCUGCGGUACAAACAUGCUCCCUCUUUCCCACUUACAAAUGAGUUGAGCACACACACACACACACACGUGCACAUAUAUAAGCCACAAGAAAGGUAACCAGCCUGCCCAAGGACCUGGGCAGUGAGAAGGUAACCAGCCCAAGGACCUGGGCAGUGAGAAGAAUGACAAAGCUAAAAUUAAGAUGAAAUACAUAGGCAAAUAGAUAUUACAUUUUCAAAUGAUGCCAAGACUUUGAAGUACUUUUUCUUAUUUUGCUUUAAACACAUUUCUAUUUUCUAAAAACCAAAGCCCCACUGCAGAGUCCUAUUCUUAGUUUUCUGGCAGCUUGCACCAGAUGACUGGGAUUUCAAUCUUUUUUCUUUUCAAAGUACUUACUUGUAGGUGGCAGUUCUAGUUUCAAACCCUGCUUUGCACUAACUCCCCACCCCCACCCCAUGGAAGAUUAGAAAAAGCCAUCUGGUUAUCAUCAUCCUGAAAAAAUCCUCUGAGUGGAACUUUUUUAGGAAGAAAUUGUAAGAAAAGAGUAUAGCAUAAAGCAAGGCAGAAUACAAAUUGAAAACUCUAGAAACUAAGCAUUAAAUUUUGAUACCCAAAUGUUGGGUAUCAUCUUACUGUACAAUAAAUUUACUUUUCUACUAAGUCCCCUUUUCAUAUUUUCUUUUGAGCGGAGGCUUCUUUAAAUUAAACCUUUAUCUUUCAUGAAAAGAUUUCAACUCCUGCUUACUUAUAUCUUGUCUGGUCUUGAAUUUUGGGCUCCUUUUCUAUGUAGCUAUUUCUUCUAUUUAGGCAUUCAUUACUCCCAUGUCCAUCUCUUAAAUGGUGACAUCCUUGUCAAGACUACAU